UUUCGUUUCAAGAUUCAUCAAAGGCUUCAAGAUUCUUCCAUCAACCCAACAGGCCUCAAUUUUUCUUCAAUGCGGCUUUUUGAUGAGAAUGGUCAAGAAAUUAAGGAUCCACUUUUGCUGAAGAAUGAGCAAAAAAUUUGGGUCUUUUAUGGUAGAGCAUACAGAUCUCCACUAAACCUCGCUUUGGGUUUGACCUUUGAUCGAGUGAGUGCAUCUGCCAGAGGUGACAUCGUGGUUGCAUAUAAGACCUUUUUGGAUCCUAAUACUGUUCUGCUACCUGGAUGUGGCAAUUGGGAAGUUUGUGAGGGAUUUCCAAUUAAUUUCAACUGUACCAGUCAACAGAUACCUGACCAGUUUGAAAAGGUGGACUUGGAGAACCAUUUCCUACAGAAUAAGGUCAGAUUUUAGUAAUUGUA
rnacentral:lncRNA from 1 species